GUGCUCGCUUUAGAGCACACAUACUAAAAUAUUAGUAUGACCCCUCUGCAAGGAUGACAUGCAUAUUCCUGAAGCGUUCCGUAUUUAU
rnacentral:snRNA from 1 species